GGGGAAUCUUGCACAAUGGGCGAAAGCCUGAUCCAGCGACGCCGCGUGAGUGAUGAAGGCCUUCGGGUUGUAAAGCUCUGUUGAGGGAGAAGAAAACGUUUGGCGCGAAUAGCUCCAGACCUUGACGGUAUCCCUUUAGAAAGCACCGGCUAACUCUGCGCCAGCAGCCGCGGUAAUACGAAGGGUGCAAGCGUUAAUCGGAAUUACUGGGCGUAAAGCGUGCGUAGGUGGUUUGUUAAGUCUGAUGUGAAAGCCCGGGGCUCAACCUGGGAAUGGCAUUGGAUACUGGCUUACUAGAGUGCGGUAGAGGGAUGCGGAAUUUCCGGUGUAGCGGUGAAAUGCGUAGAGAUCGGAAGGAACAUCUGUGGCGAAGGCGGCAUCCUGGACCAGCACUGACACUGAGGCACGAAAGCGUGGGGAGCAAA
rnacentral:rRNA from 1 species